UUGUCUUGCUUAUGCUACUGCCCCUAUUCCACAGAGAGAUAAACUAAAACCUAGAGCACUUUCAUGUGUUUUUCUAGGAUAUCCUUUUUCCAAAAAGGUUUACAAGUUGUAUGAUCUAGUUUCCAAAAGAUUUUUGUGUCCAGGGAUGUUGUGUUUCAAGAGACAUGUUUUCCUUUUUGCAACUAAUUCUGAAAUUACCUCUGGUUCUUCUAUAUUUUCUUUUCCACCUCCUCUUAUACCUUUUUUUGAUCACCAAGAUUCUAGGACACACAUUUCUGUCCCACCUGGUUCCCCUGUUCCCUCUCCUUCUAACUCUUUUCCUUCUGCUUCCAGCUAUGCUCCUUCUUUUGCUUCUGACUCCACACCUUCUGAACCUCUUCCUUCUGCAUCCUUCAAUCCUGAUAUUCCACCUCCUGCUAUUUCUUCCUCUACACAACCUCAUAUCAACAGAAGAUCUGCAAGGCAACACACCACUCCUUCUUAUCUCAAAGACUAUGUGUGUCAACUACCUUAUUUUUCUGGAUCUCUAUCAACAGAAGAUCUGGAAGGCAACAUACCACCCCUUCUUAUCUCAAAGACUAUGUGUGUCAACUACCUUCUUUUUCUGGAUCUUCUUCCUCUACUUCCAGUCUGGAAUCUGAACCUCUUUAUUUAUCUUAAGCUGCCACAGUUCCAGCUUGGCAGGAUGCCAUGAGAAAGGAGUUUGAUGCAUUGGACGCCAACCACACUUGGGAUGUUGUUCCCCUUCCUCCUGGUAAGAAACCCAUAGGUUGCAAGUGGG
rnacentral:lncRNA from 1 species